CCAAACAAGGGCACUGCGUUCAUCCACCUCUGGCCUGCUCGCCUCCCUACCUCUGAGGAAGCACAGUUCCCACUCAGCCCAGUCAAAACUGUUCGCUGCUCUGGCACCCCAAUGGUGGAACAAGCUCCCUCACGACGCCAGGACAGCGGAGUCAAUCACCACCUUCCGGAGACACCUGAAACCCCACCUCUUUAAGGAAUACCUGGGAUAGGAUAAAGACAAUGACCCAAAACACACCCCCAGGUUGUGUAAGGGCUAUUUGACCAAGAAGGAGAGUGAUGGAGUGCUGCAUCAGAUGACCUGGCCUCCACAAUCCCCCGACCUCAACCCAAUUGAGAUUGUUUUGGAUGAGUUGGACCGCAGAGUGAAGGAAAAGCAGCCAACAAGUGCUCAGCAUAUAUGGGAACUCCUUCAAGAUUGUAAGGAAAAGCAUUCCUCAUGAAACUGGUUGAGAGAAUGUCAAGAGUUUGCAAAGCUGUCAUCAAGGCAAAGGGUGGCUACUUUGUAGAAACUCAAAUAAUUUAUAAUUUAUUUUGAUUUGGUUACUACAUGAUUCCAUAUGUGUUAUUUAUUCUACAAUGUAAAAAAUAGUAAAGAUAAACAAAAACCCUUGAAUGAUUAGGUGUGUCCAAACGUUUGACAGGUACUGUAUAUUAAUAUAUAUAAAAAAUAUAUAUACAUACAUAUAUACAUACAUACAUACAUACAUAUACAUAUACAUAUACAUAUACAUAUACAUAUACAUAUAUAUAUAUCGGUCCCUCUCCCGAACAAGGAGAGGGACCGACUUUGGCGGAAGUCGUGACACCUACAUCAUUUUGAGUUAUGAAAAAAAAAAAAUCCCAACGAAGUCAAGACAGUUCAGUGAAAGGGAAUUGAUGAACUGAUGAAAUAAAAUACAAAUAUUGAGGCUUCACUGCGUGUAACAGCACUCUGCUCUUCUCUAAUUACAUUUAAAUAGAAGUGGAACUAUUUUUGGUAUAACACUCAUAGUGCCAGAAGCACUUCCCAGUUUAUCUUGCCUGUCAGAAUGGGUGAAUCACAGAUACUUUAUGAAGAAACAGCCAUGAGGGACUUACUGAUCCCAUUAGAAACACAGAGGGACAAAUGAAACACUAAUUAAAAAUGAUAUUUUUUUACAUUAUUAAUUCUGUAGUUUCAAACUUAAUGAAUAUGAAACGACAAGGAUACUAUAUAUAUUUUUUUUAUAAAUACAGUACACGUCUGCCACCACUAGCUCCUACAGGACAAGCUAGGAACUAGGAUACAAUUGGGUGAAAGCAGUGUUGUGGAAUGAUUUUGGUAACAGUAGCUGUAAUGAAUGUACCCUAGAACCACUCAAAGUCACUAUCAGAUUUUCUUUGCUCAGUGUCCCAUUCUGUGGGGAAAAAGAUUGUUUGCAAUCUGCCUGAAUUAUCAGACAUUCACAUGAAAGAAAAGAAACACAAGCAUGAGGGGUGUAUAUAGGAAGGAAACUGUUCAUAUCUAAAUCAUGGUUAUUCUGUCUAUUGUUCCUUUGAGUGCUAGCAGCACAGUACGACACAGAGACAGCAGCAGCAGUUCUCUGUAUAGAGGGGUCUGGGCUAUAAGACAGUAGUUCUCUGUGUAGAGGGGUUUGGGCUAUAAGACAGUAGUUCUCUGUAUAGAUGGGUUUGGGCUAUAAGACAGUAGUUCUCUGUAUACAGUAGUCUGGGCUAUAAGACAGUAGUUCUCUGUAUAGAGGGGUCUGGGCUAUAAGACAGUAGUUGUCUGUAUAGAGGGGUCUGGGCUAUAAGACAGUAGUUCUCUGUAUACAGUAGUCUGGGCUAUAAGACAUUAACAUCCCUGUUCCCCUCCAACAUAUUCUCUGCAGGAUAUUCAUUGUUGUACAGCCAAAAGAUGGAAUGUACUGUGUAACUAGUACGUUCUCCUGUGAUUUACUUUUUUUUAAGAAUGCUUUGUCAUUUCAUAAUACUUUUUCAGGCAUGUUUCAUAAAGUUUCACAUUUUAUUGUAACACAAUAAAAUAAAGAAUUUUGGCAGGUUUCUGAAUACUGCAUGCUGUCAAAAUGUCAAAAGCUGUGUUUAUUAUAGCCUGUGUAGGAGGAGUACAGAUGUACAGGGUGACGUUGUUGUCUGAGAUGUAGCUUAUAUCCUACUGCACCUAAAACCACGUGCCGAACACAAAGACAUGUCCUACUCCAAUCUGAAGUUGAUUCCCAGCCACAAGAUUGGUUUAAGAACUAGGAGCCGAGUAUCAGCUACAUCGGUACGAUGGUGAAAGUUGGGUAUUUUCACUGAGUGAAAACAACAUAUUACGAGGUUUAAAUCUUUAUCAAAUGUUAAAGUGUUUAAAUUGUUUUUUAUUUGUUGUUUUUUUUGUCCUGAGAGAAAAUCACGUUUUGGAAUUUCCACAAAUGCUCUUGGGAACCAAAUGCACAUUCUAUUAUUUUAUAAUGACUGUUACAAAACUACCACAUGACUUGUUAAUAUAUACUACAUAAGAAAUGUUACUACAUCUAACACAAUGACUAUCUAUAUUAUAGUACUAAUCUCAGGUGUAAGGUUGUCUCUUUCUUGUGAUUUCAGUUGGCAUCACACAGUGGCGUACCCACUGGAAGGAGGACGGUAAAUGAUUCACAGCAAAAAAACUAUAUUUACCUCCUUUUUGUGUAAAUAAAAGGGAAAUAUAUUUAAUUAUUAGAACUACAGGUUAUUUGUAUAUGAGGGAAAUAGAGAGCCUCCAAGACAAAUCCGUACGUAUAGUAUAGGACUCACUGAAUGUACUAAUAACAUACAUAUAGUAGUUACUGUGUAUUUAACCCACCUAAAACGGAUUAUUCUCCUAGCCCGUUCAUUCAUCAAAACACUUCUCCUGCCCCUUAGUGAAUGAUUGAAACAGACACACAGGGAUAUAUAUAUAUAUAUAUUUGAAUACGCUGCCUGGUGGGCUGAGGACUGUUAACAGAUAAUAACGAUACCAUCAGGUUCCCGUUCUCAUGAAUAGAUGGAAUUCCUGUCUGUCUAAUGUACUGUCGCUACGGUCAACUUAACGGCAGAAACUAUUUUUCCCACCAACAUUCCAGUGCUCCCUG
rnacentral:lncRNA from 1 species